rnacentral:rRNA from 1 species
CGAAAGCUUGCUUUUGAUGGGCGUCGACCGGCGCACGGGUGAGUAACGCGUAUCCAACCUGCCCACCACUUGGGGAUAACCUUGCGAAAGUAAGACUAAUACCCAAUGAUAUCUCUAGAAGACAUCUGAAAGAGAUUAAAGAUUUAUCGGUGAUGGAUGGGGAUGCGUCUGAUUAGCUUGUUGGCGGGGUAACGGCCCACCAAGGCAACGAUCAGUAGGGGUUCUGAGAGGAAGGUCCCCCACAUUGGAACUGAGACACGGUCCAAACUCCUACGGGAGGCAGCAGUGAGGAAUAUUGGUCAAUGGACGAGAGUCUGAACCAGCCAAGUAGCGUGCAGGAUGACGGCCCUAUGGGUUGUAAACUGCUUUUAUAAGGGAAUAAAGUGAGUCUCGUGAGACUUUUUGCAUGUACCUUAUGAAUAAGGACCGGCUAAUUCCGUGCCAGCAGCCGCGGUAAUACGGAAGGUCCGGGCGUUAUCCGGAUUUAUUGGGUUUAAAGGGAGCGUAGGCCGGAGAUUAAGCGUGUUGUGAAAUGUAGAUGCUCAACAUCUGCACUGCAGCGCGAACUGGUUUCCUUGAGUACGCACAAAGUGGGCGGAAUUCGUGGUGUAGCGGUGAAAUGCUUAGAUAUCACGAAGAACUCCGAUUGCGAAGGCAGCUCACUGGAGCGCAACUGACGCUGAAGCUCGAAAGUGCGGGUAUAGAACAGGAUUAGAUACCCUGGUAGUCCGCACGGUAAACGAUGGAUGCCCGCUGUUGGUCUGAAUAGGUCAGCGGC